rnacentral:rRNA from 1 species
UUAAGUGACUAAGCGUACACGGUGGAUGCCUGGGCAGUCAGAGGCGAUGAAGGACGUACUAACUUGCGAUAAGCGCAGAUAAGGCAGUAAGAGCCGUUUGAGUCUGCGAUUUCCGAAUGGGGAAACCCAACUGCAUAAGCAGUUACUGUUAACUGAAUACAUAGGUUAACAGAGCAAACCGGGGGAACUGAAACAUCUAAGUACCCCGAGGAGAAGAAAUCAACCGAGAUUCCGGUAGUAGCGGCGAGCGAACCUGGAUUAGCCCUUAAGCACUCGGUGAAGUAGGUGAACAAGCUGGAAAGCUUGGCGAUACAGGGUGAUAGCCCCGUAACCGACGCUUCAUCGAGCGUGAAAUCGAGUAGGGCGGGACACGUGAUAUCCUGUCUGAAUAUGGGGGGACCAUCCUCCAAGGCUAAAUACUCCUGACUGACCGAUAGUGAACCAGUACCGUGAGGGAAAGGCGAAAAGAACCCCUGUGAGGGGAGUGAAAUAGAACCUGAAACCGUGUACGUACAAGCAGUAGGAGCACCUUCGUGGUGUGACUGCGUACCUUUUGUAUAAUGGGUCAGCGACUUAUAUUCAGUGGCAAGGUUAACCGUAUAGGGGAGCCGUAGCGAAAGCGAGUCUUAACUGGGCGCUCAGUCUCUGGAUAUAGACCCGAAACCGGGUGAUCUAGCCAUGGGCAGGUUGAAGGUUGAGUAACAUCAACUGGAGGACCGAACCGACUAAUGUUGAAAAAUUAGCGGAUGACUUGUGGCUAGGGGUGAAAGGCCAAUCAAACUCGGAGAUAGCUGGUUCUCCCCGAAAGCUAUUUAGGUAGCGCCUCGGACGAAUACUACUGGGGGUAGAGCACUGUUAAGGCUAGGGGGUCAUCCCGACUUACCAACCCUUUGCAAACUCCGAAUACCAGUAAGUACUAUCCGGGAGACACACGGCGGGUGCUAACGUCCGUCGUGGAGAGGGAAACAACCCAGACCGCCAGCUAAGGUCCCAAAGUAUUGCUAAGUGGGAAACGAUGUGGGAAGGCUCAGACAGCUAGGAUGUUGGCUUAGAAGCAGCCAUCAUUUAAAGAAAGCGUAAUAGCUCACUAGUCGAGUCGGCCUGCGCGGAAGAUGUAACGGGGCUAAGCAAUACACCGAAGCUGCGGCAAUGUCUUUUAGACAUUGGGUAGGGGAGCGUUCUGUAAGCCGUUGAAGGUGAAUCGUAAGGUUUGCUGGAGGUAUCAGAAGUGCGAAUGCUGACAUGAGUAACGACAAAGGGGGUGAAAAACCUCCUCGCCGGAAGACCAAGGGUUCCUGUCCAACGUUAAUCGGGGCAGGGUGAGUCGACCCCUAAGGUGAGGCCGAAAGGCGUAAUCGAUGGGAAACGGGUUAAUAUUCCCGUACUUCUGACUAUUGCGAUGGGGGGACGGAGAAGGCUAGGUGGGCCAGGCGACGGUUGUCCUGGUUCAAGUGCGUAGGCUUGAGAGUUAGGUAAAUCCGGCUCUCUUUAAGGCUGAGACACGACGUCGAGCUACUACGGUAGUGAAGUCAUUGAUGCCAUGCUUCCAGGAAAAGCCUCUAAGCUUCAGAUAGUCAGGAAUCGUACCCCAAACCGACACAGGUGGUCGGGUAGAGAAUACCAAGGCGCUUGAGAGAACUCGGGUGAAGGAACUAGGCAAAAUGGUACCGUAACUUCGGGAGAAGGUACGCUCUUGAUGGUGAAGUCCCUCGCGGAUGGAGCUGACGAGAGUCGCAGAUACCAGGUGGCUGCAACUGUUUAUUAAAAACACAGCACUGUGCAAAAUCGCAAGAUGACGUAUACGGUGUGACGCCUGCCCGGUGCCGGAAGGUUAAUUGAUGGGGUUAGCGCAAGCGAAGCUCUUGAUCGAAGCCCCGGUAAACGGCGGCCGUAACUAUAACGGUCCUAAGGUAGCGAAAUUCCUUGUCGGGUAAGUUCCGACCUGCACGAAUGGCGUAAUGAUGGCCACGCUGUCUCCACCCGAGACUCAGUGAAAUUGAAAUCGCUGUGAAGAUGCAGUGUACCCGCGGCUAGACGGAAAGACCCCGUGAACCUUUACUACAGCUUGGCACUGAACAUUGAACCUACAUGUGUAGGAUAGGUGGGAGGCUAUGAAGACGUGACGCCAGUUGCGUUGGAGCCGUCCUUGAAAUACCACCCUUGUAUGUUUGAUGUUCUAACUUAGACCCAUUAUCUGGGUUGAGGACAGUGCCUGGUGGGUAGUUUGACUGGGGCGGUCUCCUCCCAAAGAGUAACGGAGGAGCACGAAGGUGGGCUAAUCACGGUUGGACAUCGUGAGGUUAGUGCAAUGGCAUAAGCCCGCUUAACUGCGAGAAUGACGGUUCGAGCAGGUGCGAAAGCAGGUCAUAGUGAUCCGGUGGUUCUGUAUGGAAGGGCCAUCGCUCAACGGAUAAAAGGUACUCCGGGGAUAACAGGCUGAUACCGCCCAAGAGUUCAUAUCGACGGCGGUGUUUGGCACCUCGAUGUCGGCUCAUCACAUCCUGGGGCUGAAGUCGGUCCCAAGGGUAUGGCUGUUCGCCAUUUAAAGUGGUACGCGAGCUGGGUUUAGAACGUCGUGAGA